rnacentral:misc_RNA from 1 species
GAUGAAGAACGCAGCGAAAUGCGAUAAGUGAUGUGAAUUGCAGAAUUCAGUGAAUCAUCGAAUCUUUGAACGCACAUUGCGCCCUUUGGCAUUCCGAAGGGCACACCUGUCCGAGCGCCGUCGCACAACUGAGGCGCAGCCUUGCGUUGGCGGGCGACUUGUGAGUAGCGAGUCGCCGCCCAAACGAGACGGCGCCGCGCCGCGGCCGACGAAGCACGAAAGCGGAAGUCGACGCGGAGGCGGUUGCCUGUAGGAAGACACAGCUUGGCCUCGGAUCAGGUGGGGAUACCCGCUGAACUUAAGAAUAUCAAUAAGCGGAGGA